rnacentral:lncRNA from 1 species
UUGUUGAUGAAAAAAUUUGACUUUCUAUGAUACAUUUGUAAGAUUUUUUAUUAGCUUCAAUGUGCAUUUACUAAUAUUAUAUCCACAUUAAUAAAUAAGAUAUUUCAACUUAAAUUAGCACAAUCUUAAAUCUAAGACUUCUUCUACUUCAAAUUCUUGAUUAUAAUGCACUUCUAUAAGAGACACUAGUAUUUGUCUUCUUCUUAGGAUAUUCAUUGUCUUAUAUGGCUUUAAAAGAGAUAUGUGAAAUAUAAGAUACAACCUCAUAGACUUUGAUAGAUGUAAUUAGUAAUAAUUGGAUUUAUUUGUUUACAUAUAAAAAAUAGUCUAAGUCUAGAAUAAUUAUAUAAUUAUU